rnacentral:rRNA from 1 species
UACGUAGGGUGCAAGCGUUGUCCGGAAUUAUUGGGCGUAAAGAGCUCGUAGGCGGUCUGUCGCGUCGGCUGUGAAAACUCGGGGCUCAACUCCGAGCUUGCAGUCGAUACGGGCAGGCUAGAGUUCGGCAGGGGAGACUGGAAUUCCUGGUGUAGCGGUGAAAUGCGCAGAUAUCAGGAGGAACACCGGUGGCGAAGGCGGGUCUCUGGGCCGAUACUGACGCUGAGGAGCGAAAGCGUGGGGAGCGAACGGG